rnacentral:rRNA from 1 species
CUGAAGAGUUUGAUCAUGGCUCAGAUUGAACGCUGGCGGCAGGCCUAACACAUGCAAGUCGAGCGGCAGCACGGGGAGCUUGCUCCCUGGUGGCGAGCGGCGGACGGGUGAGUAAUGCAUAGGAAUCUGCCCGGUAGUGGGGGAUAACGUGGGGAAACCCACGCUAAUACCGCAUACGUCCUACGGGAGAAAGCAGGGGAUCUUCGGACCUUGCGCUAUCGGAUGAGCCUAUGUCGGAUUAGCUAGUUGGUAAGGUAACGGCUUACCAAGGCGACGAUCCGUAGCUGGUCUGAGAGGAUGAUCAGCCACACUGGGACUGAGACACGGCCCAGACUCCUACGGGAGGCAGCAGUGGGGAAUAUUGGACAAUGGGCGAAAGCCUGAUCCAGCCAUGCCGCGUGUGUGAAGAAGGCUUUCGGGUUGUAAAGCACUUUCAGCGAGGAAGAAAGCCUCUGGGUUAAUACUUCAGAGGAAGGACAUCACUCGCAGAAGAAGCACCGGCUAACUCCGUGCCAGCAGCCGCGGUAAUACGGAGGGUGCGAGCGUUAAUCGGAAUUACUGGGCGUAAAGCGCGCGUAGGUGGCUUGGCACGCCGGUUGUGAAAGCCCCGGGCUCAACCUGGGAACGGCAUCCGGAACGGCCAGGCUAGAGUGCAGGAGAGGAAGGUAGAAUUCCCGGUGUAGCGGUGAAAUGCGUAGAGAUCGGGAGGAAUACCAGUGGCGAAGGCGGCCUUCUGGCCUGACACUGACACUGAGGUGCGAAAGCGUGGGUAGCAAACAGGAUUAGAUACCCUGGUAGUCCACGCCGUAAACGAUGUCGACUAGCCGUUGGGACCUUUAAGGACUUAGUGGCGCAGUUAACGCGAUAAGUCGACCGCCUGGGGAGUACGGCCGCAAGGUUAAAACUCAAAUGAAUUGACGGGGGCCCGCACAAGCGGUGGAGCAUGUGGUUUAAUUCGAUGCAACGCGAAGAACCUUACCUACCCUUGACAUCCAGAGAAGUUGGCAGAGAUGCCUUCGUGCCUUCGGGAACUCUGAGACAGGUGCUGCAUGGCUGUCGUCAGCUCGUGUUGUGAAAUGUUGGGUUAAGUCCCGUAACGAGCGCAACCCUUGUCCUUAUUUGCCAGCGAGUAAUGUCGGGAACUCUAAGGAGACUGCCGGUGACAAACCGGAGGAAGGUGGGGACGACGUCAAGUCAUCAUGGCCCUUACGGGUAGGGCUACACACGUGCUACAAUGGCCGGUACAAAGGGUUGCGAGACCGCGAGGUGGAGCGAAUCCCAGAAAGCCGGCCUCAGUCCGGAUCGGAGUCUGCAACUCGACUCCGUGAAGUCGGAAUCGCUAGUAAUCGUGAAUCAGAAUGUCACGGUGAAUACGUUCCCGGGCCUUGUACACACCGCCCGUCACACCAUGGGAGUGGACUGCACCAGAAGUGGUUAGCUUAACCUUCGGGAGAGCGAUCACCACGGUGUGGUUCAUGACUGGGGUGAAGUCGUAACAAGGUAGCCGUAGGGGAACCUGCGGCUGGAUCACCUCCUU